ACGAACGUUGAUGGCGUGCCUCAUACAUGCAAGUCGAGCGCCCCGCAAGGGGGAGCGGCGGACGGGUGAGUAACACGUAAAGAAUCUGCCCUGAAGCGGGGAAUAACUAUCCCAACGGAUAGCUAAUACCGCAUAAUGAUGGAGGAGGCAUCUCCUCUUCUCAAAAGGCUUCGGCCACUUCAGGAUGACUUUGCGUCCCAUUAGCUUGUUGGCGGGGUAACGGCCCACCAAGGCUACGAUGGGUAUCCGGCCUGAGAGGGUGUACGGACACAUUGGGACUGAGAUACGGCCCAGACUCCUACGGGAGGCAGCAGUAGGGAAUUUUGCGCAAUGGGGGAAACCCUGACGCAGCAACGCCAUGUGUGGGAUGAAGCAUUUCGGUGUGUAAACCACUGUCAGCGGGGAAUAAACGGCAGCUUCGGGCUGCUUUGAAUGUACCCGCAAAGG
rnacentral:rRNA from 1 species